UGGACAAUGGGGGGAACCCUGAUCCAGCCAUGCCGCGUGUGUGAAGAAGGCCUUUUGGUUGUAAAGCACUUUAAGCGAGGAGGAGGCUACUCUAGUUAAUACCUAGGGAUAGUGGACGUUACUCGCAGAAUAAGCACCGGCUAACUCUGUGCCAGCAGCCGCGGUAAUACAGAGGGUGCGAGCGUUAAUCGGAUUUACUGGGCGUAAAGCGUGCGUAGGCGGCUUUUUAAGUCGGAUGUGAAAUCCCUGAGCUUAACUUAGGAAUUGCAUUCGAUACUGGGAAGCUAGAGUAUGGGAGAGGAUGGUAGAAUUCCAGGUGUAGCGGUGAAAUGCGUAGAGAUCUGGAGGAAUACCGAUGGCGAAGGCAGCCAUCUGGCCUAAUACUGACGCUGAGGUACGAAAGCAUGGGGAGCAAACAGGAUUAGAUACCCUGGUAGUCCAUGCCGUAAACGAUGUCUACUAGCCGUUGGGGCCUUUGAGGCUUUAGUGGCGCAGCUAACGCGAUAAGUAGACCGCCUGGGGAG
rnacentral:rRNA from 1 species